GAGGAUGUACGGAAAAUUGUAAGCACUGCUAAUUCUUACACCCCGCGGUUAAAAUCCGCGGCUUCCUCA
rnacentral:tRNA from 1 species